rnacentral:lncRNA from 1 species
AUGGAACAUCUCAUCCUGGAUGUCAUCUCCAAGCAUGUGGAGGACAAGAUCAUCAGGAGUAGUCAGCAUGGAUUCACCAAGGGGAAGUCAUGCUUAAACAACCUGAAAGCCUUCUGUGAUGGGAUGACUAGCUGGGUAGAUGAAGGGAGAGCAGCGGAUGUUGUCUACCUUGACUUCAGUAAGGCUUUCGACUCUGUCUCCCAUAACAUCCUCAUAGACAAGUUCAGGAAGUGUGGGCUAGAUGAAUGGACAGUGAGGUGGAUUGAGAACUGGCUGAACAGCAGAGCUCAGAGGGUUGUGACCAGCAGCACAAAGUCUAGUUGGAGGCCUGUAGCUAGCRGUGUCCCCCAGGAGUCACUACUGGGUCCAGUAUUGCUCCACUUCUUCAUCAGUGACCUGGAUGAAGGGACAGAGUGCACCCUCAGCAAGUCUGCUGCUGAUGAUACAAAACUGGGAGGAAUGGCUGAUACCCCAGAGGUCUGUGCUGCCAUUCAGAGGGACCUGGACAGGCUGGAGAACUGGGUGGAGAGGAACCUCAUGAAGUUCAACAAAGGCAAGUGCAGGGUCCUGCACCUAGGAAGGAAUAACCCCCUGCACCAGUACAGGUUGGGGAUUGACCUGCUGGAAAGCAGCUCUGCAGAGAAGGACCUGGGAGUGCUGGUGGACACCAAGUUGACCAUGAGGCAGCAAUGUGCCCUUGUGGCCAAGAAGGCCAAUGGUAUCCUGGGGUGCAUCAGGAAAAGUGUUGCCAGCAGGUCGAGGGAGGUGAUCCUCCCCCUCUACUCAGCCUUGGUGAGGCCCCAUCUGGAGUACUGCGUCCAGUUCUGGGCUUCCCAAUACAAGAGGGAUGUGGCACUACUGGAGCAAGUCCAGCGAAGGGCUACAAAGAUGAUUAGGGGACUGGAGCAUCUCUCUUAUGAGGAAAGGCUGAGAGAGCUGGACCUGUUCAGCCUGGAGAAGAGAAGGCUGAGAGGAGAUCUUAUCAACGUGUACAAGUAUCUGAAGGGAGGGUGUCAAGAGGAUGGAGCCAGACUCUUUUCAGUGGUUCCCAGUGACAGGACGAGAAGCAAUGGGCACAAAGUGAAACACAGGAAGUUCCAUCUGAACAUGAGGAAAAACUUCUUUACUGUGAGGAUGACAAAGCACUGGAACACGUUGCCCAGGGAGGUUGCGGAGUCUCCUUCCUUGGACAUAUUCAAGACCUGCCUGGAUGUGAGCCUGUGCAACAUGUUCUGGGUGACCCUGCUUGAGCAGGGGUGUUGGACUAGAUGA